GAGUUUGAUCCUGGCUCAGAGUGAACGCUGGCGGCGUGCCUAAUACAUGCAAGUCGAACGAUGAAUCUUCUAGCUUGCUAGAAGUGGAUUAGUGGCGCACGGGUGAGUAAUGCAUAGGUUAUGUGCCCUUUAGUCUGGGAUAGCCACUGGAAACGGUGAUUAAUACUGGAUACUCCCUACGGGGGAAAGUUUUUCGCUAAAGGAUCAGCCUAUGUCCGAUCAGCUUGUUGGUGAGGUAAUGGCUCACCAAGGCUAUGACGGGUAUCCGGCCUGAGAGGGUGAUCGGACACACUGGAACUGAGACACGGUCCAGACUCCUACGGGAGGCAGCAGUAGGGAAUAUUGCUCAAUGGGGGAAACCCUGAAGCAGCAACGCCGCGUGGAGGAUGAAGGUUGAGGAUUGUAAACUCCUUUUGUUAGAG
rnacentral:rRNA from 1 species